rnacentral:tRNA from 1 species
GCAGCCCUAGCUCAACUGGAUAGAGUCCCUGACUACGAAUCAGGCGGUUACAGGUUCGAGUCCUGUGGGUUGCACCA